rnacentral:rRNA from 1 species
GAUGAACGCUAGCGGGAGGCUUAAUACAUGCAAGUCGAGCGGUAGAGCGGCUUCGGUUGCUCGAGAGCGGCGCACGGGUGAGUAACGCGUACGCAACUUACCUCCAAGCGGGGCAUAGCCCCGGGAAACUGGGAUUAAUACCCCAUAGUUUGCAUUGGCUGCAUGGUCAGUGCAAUAAAGUUGAGGCGCUUGGAGAUAGGCGUGCGUCUGAUUAGGUAGUUGGUAGGGUAACGGCCUACCAAGCCGACGAUCAGUAGGGGGCGUGAGAGCGUGGCCCCCCACACGGGUACUGAGACACGGACCCGACUCCUACGGGAGGCAGCAGUAAGGAAUAUUGGUCAAUGGAGGAAACUCUGAACCAGCCAUCCCGCGUGCAGGAAGAAUGCCCUAUGGGUUGUAAACUGCUUUUAUUCUGGGAAGGAAAAGUACGGGAUUUAUCCUGAUCUGACGGUACCAGAGGAAUAAGCACCGGCUAACUCCGUGCCAGCAGCCGCGGUAAUGU